UGAGUACAAGAUGCUACGGCAUUGAAGCAGUCUAUGUCAUACUUCCAAGAAAAGCUUGCAAUGUCAUAAACAAAUAAUGCCUGUACCAUAACCGACACAGGUGGGUAGGUAGAGUAUACUAAGGGGCGCGAGAUAACUCUCUCUAAGGAACUCGGCAAAAUGACUCCGUAACUUCGGGAGAAGGAGUACCUUAUUUUAUAAGGUUGCAAUAACAAGGUCCAAGCAACUGUUUACCAAAAACACAGGUCUCCGCUAAGUCGUAAGACGAUGUAUGGGGGCUGACGCCUGCCCAGUGCCAGAAGGUUAAAGAAGUUGGUUAGCAUUAGCGAAGCUGAUAACUGAAGCCCUGGUGAACGGCGGCCGUAACAAUAACGGUCCUAAGGUAGCGAAAUUCCUUGUCGGGUUAGUUCCGACCCGCACGAAAGGCGUAAUGAUUUGGAUACUGUCUCGGAGAGGGGCUCGGUGAAAUAGACUUGUCUGUGAAGAUGCGGACUACCUGCACCUGGACAGAAAGACCCUAUGAAGCUUUACUGUAACUUGAGAUUGAAAUUGGACUUUAUUUGCGCAGUAUAGGUGGGAGACCUCGAAAGUAUUCUUGCGGGAAUAUUGGAGUCAUCAGUGAGAUACCACUCUUAUAAUGUUAGAUUUCUAACUUUGUAUCAUUAUCUGGUCAAAGAACAGUUUCAGGCGGGCAGUUUGACUGGGGCGGUCGCCUCCCAAAUGGUAACGGAGGCGCACAAAGGUUUCCUCUGAACGUGUAGAAAUCGUAUCUAGAGUGUAAAGGCAUAAGGAAGCUUGACUGUGAGACCUACAAGUCGAGCAGGGACGAAAGUCGGUCUUAGUGAUCUGACGGUGCUGAGUGGAAAGGCCGUCACUCAACGGAUAAAAGUUACUCUAGGAUAACAGGCUGAUCUCACCCAAGAGUUCACAUCGACGGGGAGGUUUGGCACCUCGAUGUCGGCUCAUCGCAUCCUGGGGCGGUAGUACGUCCCAAGGGUUGGGCUGUUCGCCCAUGAAAGCGGUACGCGAGCUGGGUUCAGAACGUCGUGAGACAGUUCGGUCCAUAUCCGGUGUAGGCGUUAGAAUAUUGAGAGGAGCCUUCUUAGUACGAGAGGACCGAGAAGGACAUACCUCUGGUGUACCAGUUAUCGUGCCAACGGUAAACGCUGGGUAGCUAUGUAUGGAGAGGAUAACCGCUGAAAGCAUCUAAGUGGGAAGCCCAUCUCAAGAUAAGUA
rnacentral:rRNA from 1 species